UCGUUACUUGUUUCUUGAUAGUAUUAUCUUCUGAUAUAUAUUCUGAUGAUGGCAGAAACCCACAUUUGGCCUUUAUCUCUACAGCUAUGCAGCUGCUACCCUUAGGAUUGCCAGAAAAUAAAGAGUGGUCUGCUAUCAGAAGAGCGGCAUCAGCAGUGUUAUCAAUUGAACUUGCAUUUACUCUCCCAGCAGGACGGCUGCUAAGAACAUUCUUUUCGACAAGCUCCAGAAAAUCCCUAGAAACACGUACACGGACCCCACCAUCGACAUGAUUGGCACCCAGGUGUUGGCUCAUAACAUGCACUGCAUAGGCUUGAGCCAAGCAAUCUUGUUUGACCGACUCAACCAGUUCUGGGAUAUGGCCCCACAGGAGUUGCUCAUGACUUGAGAAUACAAUACAACUUGGUGCCCGCUGCGACUUGUUUUUUAGAA
rnacentral:misc_RNA from 1 species